GAACGUGGAAAGUCUAGACUGACUAAGCCUGGCCUCCAUCUGUCUCUGGUGCUGGAUGUUUCCUUCCCUCGAACAUCAGACUCCAAGUUCUUCAGCUUUUGGACUCGGGCUUAACACCAGUGAUUUGCCACUGAAGGCUGCACUAUCAGCUUGUCUACUUUUGAGGUUUUGGGACUCAGGUUGGCUCCCUGGCUCCUCAGCUUGCAGAUGGGCUAUUGUGGGACUUUACCUUGUGAUCAUGUGAUGGUAUAGAUGGCCUUCGGGAGGUGAUAGAUCAUGACAUGGAGCCCUCAUGAAUGGGAUUCAUGCUCUUUCGAAAGAGGUCCCACGACUGCCUUACCCCUUCCACCAUUUGAGGACACAGCUAGGAGAUACCGUCUAUAUACCAGAAAUACACAAGAGAAGAGACCUCAUUGAAACCUCAACAGACACCAAAUCUGCUGUCACCUUGAUCUUGGACUCCCCAGCGUCCACAACUGCAAGAAAUAAACUUCUGUUGUUUAUAAAUUA
ensembl:lncRNA novel transcript